rnacentral:rRNA from 1 species
CCUACGGGAGGCAGCAGUGGGGAAUAUUGCGCAAUGGGCGAAAGCCUGACGCAGCAACGCCGCGUGCGGGAUGAAGGCCUUCGGGUUGUAAACCGCUUUCAGCAGGGAAGAAGCGAAAGUGACGGUACCUGCAGAAGAAGCACCGGCUAACUACGUGCCAGCAGCCGCGGUAAUACGUAGGGUGCAAGCGUUGUCCGGAUUUAUUGGGCGUAAAGAGCUCGUAGGCGGUUAGUCACGUCGGAUGUGAAAACCCGGAGCUUAACUCCGGGCCUGCAUUCGAUACGGGCUGACUCGAGUGUUGUAGGGGAGACUGGAACUCCUGGUGUAGCGGUGUAAUGCGCAGAUAUCAGGAAGAACACCGGUGGCGAAGGCGGGUCUCUGGGCAACUACUGACGCUGAGGAGCGAAAGCGUGGGGAGCAAACAGGAUUAGAUACCCUGGUAGUCCACGCCGUAAACGGUGGGCGCUAGGUGUGGGGAACAUUCCACGUUCUCCGUGCCGCAGCUAACGCAUUAAGCGCCCCGCCUGGGGAGUACGGCCGCAAGGCUAAAACUCAAAGGAAUUGACGG